rnacentral:ncRNA from 1 species
UACUUACUGCCACCGGGCAGGCAAUGCAGAUAGAGCAUUCGUUGACGCAUCGUUAGGUCUUUGAAGAUGCGUCCGCGGAUGCUUUUUUGUU